rnacentral:lncRNA from 1 species
CCACCCAUGAGAGCAAUGACCUUGUGCAGGUGAAGGUCAUGCCCCCGGAGAAGGGCCGAGUGUAGACCUGUUUCUUUGACCAAAGUCAAGAAUGAAAGGGAGAAGAUGCUUCCUUAGUGGAAGGCAAAGGGGGACAUUUUAACAAUCAGGUGCCUUUACCUGGAUUUUCCUCUUUGUGAAGAGAUACGAAGCACAGGAGGUCCAUUUGGAGAUUUUCUAGACAACGUUCCUGCGUGUUUACAUCAGAGAUGCUCUCCUGACGCCAGCUCGGAUUAGUCGUACGCAGUUGGCUAGAGGGCUCUGUUGAUCUAUUCGCUUUGUAAGUUCUGAACCUCCUUCUCCUGCUCGGACGCUUCCACACGUGAAUUUGUUCUUAUGUAAAUAAAGC